rnacentral:lncRNA from 1 species
GAAAAAUUCAGUGUGACAAAAAACCUUAGUUAAAGGGAAUAGAAUAUAAUGUGUAUUUAUUUCCCCUUACGAUAAUAUUACUUGUAUUAUAUGCUUCAGACACAUUGAAUAUUUUAAGGUAACAUUAAUAGACAUGUUAGAUGAGUUGGCUAUAAUCAAAUUAGAAUAUGUAUAUCAAAUUCCAUACAUUGUCGGAGUAAUAAAAUAAAGACUUGGGAUUACAUCCACCAUAUAAUAAUUUAUUUAUUUAUAUAAGUUUUCACGAAAUUUACUAUAUAAAGAGUCGUUUCAUAUUAUGACUUUACCUUUUUCAUUUUCAUUUCUCAUAAUUAUACAUCUUUAGAUGCUCAAAUUGUAGAUCCAAAAAUUUUGAGUUUCUCUAGUAAGUUUGAUUUUACUAGGAUCUCAUCCAAAAAUUUCAGGUUUCUCAAGUAAAUUCAAUUUGUUAGGAUUACAUCCAUUUAUUUGACCAAUUGUUUAUUUAUAGACAUACUUCAAUGAGUUUAUUUCAAUUCCUUGCUAUUCAUAUAUGAUGUAGUACAUCAUGUGCAAAAGUGUUGUUGACAACUUUUUCUUUUUGAUUAUAUUUCUUUCUUUAUAAUGACAUAACUUAUUGAUAUAUCUCAAUUUUCAACAUGUCAGAUACCUAAACCUUUUCUAAAAUUUUAUAAUUUGUUAUGUCUAAAUAGUCGUCAAUAAUAUAUGUUUUAUUAAUGAGAUCAUCUUUGUUAAUUGCUCCAUUUUCAUUCAGAGAUUUUCAUUUUAGAAUCGAAUACUAUCACACUUCAUGCAUGUCAUAGAUAUAUCAAAUAUAAUGCUAAUAAAUUGUCUUUCUAGGACAUCAAUUCAGUCUAGAGCAUUUAAAACUGGUACGUGAGAUAGUGUUGACCUCUUUGGUUAGUAAAUGCAUCUAGAUAAAUUAUCUUGAGAACUUUUUAUUCGAAUUAUUGUUUGCGAGAAUUUAUAUAAUAAGCAUUUAUAAAUUAUUUUCAAUUUCUUAAUUCCCCCUUUUACUGCUGAAAGAAUUGUCCAAUCAAAUUGACACUCAUUUCUCUAUCCUUAAAAAAUAUCACACAUUUGAGUUAAGAGUUCAAAUUACGCAUUUAUUCUCAACGUUUUUUUACUUUUCAUCUUAGUGCAUUGUGGUGAAUCAAUUUUACAUAUAUUGCAUUAUCAAAAUAAUUAGACGAAAAAGUUAGGCUCUAAUCAUAAGCUAAUUAUAAAAGGAAGAACUAUAAUAUUGACAUGAUGCGUAAUAACAUUCUUUAUACAUAAAUGGAAAGUAUUUUGUUUUCAAUUAAAUUAAUUGAAAGCGUUUAACAAGCAAUAGUGUUAAAUAUUUUAUCGACAUUUUAACUAAUACUUAUUAAAAUGUUAAGAUUUAUGUCUACUAGCACUCUUCAAUAAAAUAAUAUUACACACAAAUAAAAAAAAAAUCCUCAUUUUUUAACCACACAUUUUUCAUCAAUCUACUAUUUCAAAAUACAUUCUUUUAAAAUAAUGUGGCUCAAACACAAACUUAAUAUUCGUGUGUGAAUGAAUGCAUUUAUGGUGCCCAACUUUUGAUAUUCUUAAGAUUCAUCAGAAAUUAUGUCCCCGUUUGGCCCCCAUUAUUGCCAAAUUUUAAUGAUUGGAAUAGUUUUUUUGAAAAAUGUGUGGUUGAAAAAAAAUGAAAAGUUUUUUAUAAGAUUGUGUGGUUGAAAAUAAGAGAGAAAAAAAGAAUGAGAAUGGGUACCGAGAGCUAUAUUUAGUGAUGGCAAAGGGCCGGGCCGAGCCAGCUCGACUCGGCCCUUCAACCCACGAGCUCGGCUCGGGCUCGUGGCUCGUGAAAAACGAGCCGAGCUCGUUACUCCGGGCGAGCUCGCCCCACGAGCUCGUGGGCCGAGCUAAGCCAAGCCCACGAGCCGUUGGCGAGCUCGUGUAUUUUUAUUUUUUUUGCACUUUUUUUUUUAAAAAAUUUCAAUUUUUUGGACGAGCCCACAAGCUCGUCAAAAUGGCUUGUGGGCACAAGGCCCACAAGCCACUCGUGGGCUCGACGAGCCGAGUAGACUCGAUUCAUUUGAUAGAUAUACAUUGUCACCAACUAAGAAAUCCUCUCAUGAAACUACAUGCUUCUCAUUAGAUUUAUCUAAAGCUUUAUCAAUUCCAAGCAACAAUGCUGGAUAAUUUCUAACAAACCGUUACACUAGUCAAUCAUAUUUACUAGUGGAUUUCAUAUAUGGAUAUUCAAUAUCAUCAUUAAAGCAUUGCAAUGCAUUCGAACUUUAUGAAUAUUCUCAAAUAUUUCAAUUGUUCUUGUAUAUCCAAACAACCGUCAUGAUCGGCUUUCAUCCCAUUUCAUCCACUUUAGAGCUUUCAUCAUAUUUCAUCCACUUUAGACUUAGUGUAUAUCAUCGCAUUACAAUAUCCUUUCAAUACCGCAGGAUAUCUUGUGAAAUGUAAUCCAUAGGUCAUGGUAUAUUUCAAAUACCUAAGGACUCCUGUCAAUGCCACCCAAUAAUCAUGGCCUGGAUUACUCGUGAAUUUACAAGUUUAUUCACAGUAAAAGCAUUAUCCGGUUGAGUGCAUUUCGUAAUAUACAUUAGAUUGCUAAUUACUUGUGAAUAUCUCAAUUGUGACACGCUUUCACCCUUAUUUUGACCAAGUGUAGACUUGUGUCAAUAAUUCAAACUUUUUAAAUAUUUUCUCAACAAAUGAGAUUGGGAAAGUACAAUUCAUUCUGAUGUUCUAGAUAUUUUUAUCUCUAGUAUUACAUCUGACACACCCAAGUCUUUCAUGUCGUAACGCUUCGUAAGCAUUUUCAUGGCGUUUAGCACCACUUCGUGACUAUUGCCCAUCAUCAGCAUAUUGACUACAUACAAAUACGUAGGCAUCUGAUGUAUUUUCCAUGCAUACACACUUGUCACAUUCAUUUAUUUUGAACUCAUUAUACAACAUCGUUUUGUCAAACUUUUGGUGUCAGGAGCUUGUUUCAGUCCAUAAAAGGACUCAAUAAGUUUACAAAUUUUGUGGCUUUCACUUGGAGACACCUUUAGGUUGCUCUAUGUAUAUCUCUUCUUCUAACUCACCAUUUAGGAAUCCCGUUUUCACAUUCAUUUGGUAAAUAUUGCCGAGUGAGUAGGUAAAGAAGUCAAAUCCAUCUUCCUACAUAUAUCCUUUGGCAACCAAUCUAGCCUUAUAUUUAUCAAUGGAUCAUCAGGUUUUAAUCCAUUUACAUCGUAAAGGCUUAUUUCUGGGAAGUAUAUCUAUCAAUUCCCAUGUAUGAAUUUGCAUUCUGGAAUCUAUCUCACUAUUGAUAGCUUCCUUCCAAUGCGGUGCUUCCGGAAUAAACAUUGCUUCUUCAGAAGUCUUUGGGUCAUCUUCUAUCAUAUAUGUGAGAAAAUUCGGACCAAACGAAGUGGACAUUCUAACCCUCUUACUACGCAUUGGUUUAUCCUCAUUUGAAGAUUCAUUUGUAGUUUCAUAUAUUCUGUUAUUGAAACUUACAUUUUCCUUAUCUUUGCAAGGAAACACAUUCUCAAAGAAUAUCACAUUCUUUGACUCAAUUAUGGUACUCUCGUAUACAUCCGAUUUGUGUACGGGGAAAAGAUAUGCACUACUAUUAUUGGCGUAUCCAAUAAAUAUGCAAUCAAUCGUUUUAGGACCGAUCUUUAUUUGUUUGGGCUUAUGAACCUCAACCUUUGCCAAAUACCCACACACUUUUAAAUGAUGGUAGGAAGGAAGAUGAUAUUUCCAUAACUCAUAUAGUGUCUCUUCCAUUUUCUUGAGAAGUAUAAAAAAGUGUAACUUUAAACUAAGUCAUCCCCACAAUUCCUAAAUUAGGGAUAUAUGUGCAAGUAGUAGUAUUGCACCCACAUGUCUUGAACUUUUCACAUAACCAAUAUUUAUGAUAACCCCCACAUUUUUUGUUUAUUCUUGAACUUAUAGUUUAACGACUAUUUCAUAGUUCAAUCUAUUUAUCUAUAUCGAAUGCUCUAGUGGUCAUCAACUUACACAAAUGGUAAGCAUUUUCCAUUCAAAAUUGUAAUUCAAUCAACUUAUUAAUUUGACAAUCCAAAUUAAAUCAAGGUCAUCACAUAGACCAAUAACGCUUUCAAAGCAUAUACCAAUUUAAUUGGUUCUACGAUUGAAGCAUCUUCAGACAUGUACAAUUUUCAUAUUUGUGACAUUUCACAAAUAAUAUUAUUCACGUCCAAUAAUAAGGCAUAUUCUCACCUUAUUCUCCAUAAUCACAUUUGAAAGAAUAAAUCGACCAUAGAUUAACAAGUUGUGCUUUCAAAGUCACAACCUUACAAAGGACAUACCUCUUGAAAUUAAUCCUAGAACAUUUCAUAAUAUUUUUCACAAUUUUUUGCAUCGUUUUUAUCCUUUACAAAUGAAUGUCAUUUUACAAUCAUUAUUUUCAAGGAUAUCCGGCACCACCGUCAACUAUAGACACUAUUUAUGCUCUAUAAAAUAUUUUCAUAUCCCAAUAAUUGGGCAAACAAUUUUCACUUUAAAAUAAUUAGGACAAAACCACAUUCUGUCAUACUCUUAUGCAACUAUGAUUUUGCAUAAAUCAUCUCAUUCAAUUUCAUAGAAUUAAUUGAGGCUAUCAUCAUUAAUUAAGGUUUGUAUAAUUUUCAAACAAAAAUCCAUGGAUAUAUAUCGAAUUUACAACUUCAUACCGUAUAUGUCACUUACCGGAUUGACGCAUACCGUAUAUGUAACUUAUCGUAUAUGCCGCUUACCAUAUAUACAACUUACUGUAUUCAGUAGCUUACCGUAUUUGGCAGCUCACCAACCUAUCGUAUUUGACAGCUUACUGUAUAUGUCAGCUUACCGUAUUUAGCAGCUUGCCAGCUUAUCGUAUAUGUCAUUUCACAUUAUUUCAUGCACAAUCUUAUGAAAUAAUAUUUUUAUGCAGAAUUUAAUCAUGCAUUUAAAUCCCAUGAAAUUUCAAGUGUUAUCAGUAAAUAGAUAUUUUAGACAAUUCAUACUAGAAUGAAAAGUCACCAAAUUCAUGCCCUUUCAUAACCAUGGAUCGAAGGAAAACGGUUUUAUUCUUUACAUUCCGCUAACUCCCGUAACUUACUAAAAUGAAAGGGUGUGCACUUUCAUUCAAAACUAUAAUUAACCUUAACUGUCAAUUAAUUCAAACAGUUAAAGAUAUACUCAAUGAUCCAUCUAAUUUUUUUUUUUCAUAUUCCAUUACGAGAAAUAAUGAUCAGAUCCCUUUUCCAAAAAAUAAUGAUCAGAUCUAAUUCAAUAUUUCCUGCCAAAGGAACACACCUCUUCCUCUCAUUCAUGUACACCAUUCAACAUAAACCAAUUCUUUAUUAGGCAGGCAGCUUUUCAUUGAUUAUCAUCAAUUUACCACGUAAGGGAUUCAUUAUCUACGCAAUACUCAAUCCCGAUUUUCAACAAAAUAUUGGAUGCAUGUUAUGAUUUUAGGAUGUAAAACAUGAGUUUGUGCCUAUCUCAUCAUGGAAGAAGGAAGAGUUCUUUUAAUUUCAUUGACAAUUAAGGCAGUCCCUAUAACAUGUCACAUUUAUGCAAUUUAUUCUGAUUUCAGAAAAACAGAAUAUAUAAGGCAGUGUACUACCGGAACACAUGAAUAGAUUUUAUAACUGAAUUCUGGCCUUUUCUCAUGCAAUAAUAGAGAAAUAAAGAAUAUCAUAUUUGUAUGGUUCACAUACACAGUUAAUUGGAAUGACAUUAAUUGAGAGCCCAACCUUUCAAAGAAGAAUAAAACACCCAUUCAACCAGAUUAUAUCAUCCAAUAUUGUGCAUGCCAAUUCAACAUAAAAGUGACUAUCAAUGAGUUGAAAAGGCACCGAAUGAACCAAAUGUCGUUAUUAUUUUCUGCCUUAAAUUUUGAUGGGUCGCCUUUUCAAGUUACUGCAACGUAAAACCACUUAAAAUUCAUCUUAAGAUUGUUGGAAAAUUACACCAAUAAUUGUGCAUGUUAUAUUCACAAUAAACAUAUCAUUUAUUUGCAUGAAAUCGAAACGUAUUCCAACUUACUGAAAUUGGAUUUAAUAAGGCAAAAUGAGAAUUUACCGAUUCCAAAGAAUAUGAAUGUGGAACCUUCUCUUUCGAUUCUUGAACGAUUGAACCUUGCAAUAUGAAUAUAUAAAUUAGAUUAAUCAUUUUCUGAAAUCAAAUCAUGAUAAAAGGAAAUCAGAAAAUGAAGAAAGAAGGUGCAAAUGACGGAUUUUUGGUCGAGGCAAGUGUUGGAGACUUUGUCCUUAAGAUAAAUUUGCCCCACAUCGGUACUAACGGUUCUCCGGCAAUCAUCUCCCAAGAUACAACGACCACGUUGAGCCAUAGGAGCACUUCAAAUGACUUCGACCAGCAAACUCCAACGAAAUUCCCUCUCUACCGUGACUAUGAUCAUGAUCAUGACUUUGAUGCAAAUGUUUUAUGCAAAACCAAAGUGUAAAUUGGAAUGAAAUGAUAUAGUAUCUAUGACUUUUCUUGAAUGAAUA